rnacentral:rRNA from 1 species
GACGAACCGUGCAAACGUUGUUCGGAAUCACUGGGCUUAAAGGGCGCGUAGGCGGGUGGUUAAGUCAGGGGUGAAAUCCUCCAGCUCAACUGGAGAAUAGCUUUUGAUACUGGCCAUCUUGAGGGGGGUAGGGGCAUGUGGAACUUCCGGUGGAGCGGUGAAAUGCGUUGAUAUCGGAAGGAACGCCGGUGGCGAAAGCGACGUGCUGGACCCUUUCUGACGCUGAGGCGCGAAAGCCAGGGGAG